rnacentral:rRNA from 1 species
UACAGAGGUCUCAAGCGUUGUUCGGAAUCACUGGGCUUAAAGCGUGUGUAGGCGGAUCGUUAAGUGUCUUGUGAAAUCCCACGGCUCACCCGUGGAACUGCUGGGCAUACUGGCGAUCUUGGGCCAACUAGGGGCAACUGGAACAAGCGGUGGAGCGGUGAAAUGCGUAGAUAUCGCUUGGAACGCCAAAGGUGAAAACAGGUUGCUGGGGUUGUGCCGACGCUGAGACACGAAAGCCAGGGGAGCAAACGGG